rnacentral:misc_RNA from 1 species
UUUCCGUAGGUGAACCUGCGGAAGGAUCAUUAUUGUAUAACCGAGGUGCGAGGGCUGUCGCUGACCCGAAAGGUCGUGCACGCCCGAGUGCCCUCACACACAUCCAUCUCACCCCUAUGUGCACCACCGCGUGGGUCCCCCUUUGGCUUGUUCGGAGGGGGGCUUACGUUUUCACACAAACUUUGUAUGCAGUGUAGAAUGUAUUUUUGUUUUUGCGAUCACGCAAUCAAUACAACUUUCAACAACGGAUCUCUUGGCUCUCGCUCGAUGAAGAACGCAGC